GCCUUAGGCCAAACUACGCCAGCCGGUGGAUAACUCGGCUUGGGGGCCGAAGAAGGGCGCGGCAAGCUGCGAAAAGCCCCGGGUAGCCGCAAGCAGGCGUUGAACCGGGGAUGCCCGAAUGGGAUUUCCCGACAUCCCGCGCUUCGGCGUGGGAUGUCGCUCCACUGCCUCGAGCUGUGGAGCGGGAACCGGCCGAACGGAAGCAUCCAAGUAGGCCGAGGAAAAGAAAUCAAAACGAGACUCCCCUAGUAACGGCGAGUGAACGGGGACCAGGCCAAACCGAACCCGCAUGGGAAACCAUGUGGGGAUGUGGAGUGUGGGCCAGCCGCCCUCCUGUGCCCAGCGACCCGAAGCGACCUGGAAGGGUCCGCCAUAGAGGGUGACAGCCCCGUAGGGGAAGCUGGGAGUGGAGAUGGGCUGGUUCCCGAGUACCGCACCUCGGAUAUGGUGCGGGAAGGCAGGAGCCACUGGCUUCUAAGCCUAAGUACCUCCCAAGACCGAUAGCGCAACAGUACCGUGAGGGAAAGUUGAAAACUACCCCGAGAGGGGGGUGAAAAGCGGUUGAAACCGGCUGGUAACGGACGAGGGCGGCGCGCAAGGUACUCCGUCCGAACACAUCGCGUAGAUGUGGAGGGCGGAUUAUCCGGCGUCGUCCGCUCCGUCUUGAAACACGGGCCGGGGAGUUCACCGUCGUGGCGAGCUUAACCGCGGAAAGCGGGUAGGCGCGGGGAAACCGAGCAGCCCGCAGCCGACUCUCGUCGGCGAGGGGCCGGGUCCGACCAGGGCCCGUAGUCCCGGCGGUGAGGCUAGAAACCGGGCGAUCUAGCCCUGGGUAGGGUGAAGCCGGGCGAAAGCUCGGUCGAGGCCCGAACGCGUCCUGACGUGCAAUUCGGUGCGUUGACCUGGGGCUAGGGGCUAAAAACCAAUCUAGCCCGGUGAUAGCUAGUUCCCCCCGAAGUGUCUCGCAGGACAGCCUCGGCGGAGGUGGUCCGCGGGGUAGAGCACCGAUGGGGUGGUAAGGGCUCGAAAGGGCCCGCCAUCCUUUCGAACUCCGAAUCCGCGGACGCCGUAGAUGCCGGGAGUGGGGUGUGCGGGGUAAGCUCGCACGCCGAGAGGGGAACAACCCAGACCGCGGGUUAAGGCCCCAAAGUGCCCGCUAAGUGACAAACCAAAGGGCGUCUCCCUCCUAAGACAGCGGGGCCGUAGGCUUAGAAGCAGCCAUCGGCUAAGAAGUGCGUAACAGCUUACCCGCCGAGGAGGGGGGCCCCGAAAAUUGACGGGUCUAAGCGGGCCGCCGAAACCCGGGUUCACCCAGCCGAUGCUGGGUGGAGGUAGGGGGGCGUGGCGGUUGGGCGGAAGCAGGGCCGUGAGGUCCUGUGGACCGGCCGCCAAUGUAGAUCCCGGUGGUAGUAACAGCGGAGCGGGGUGAGAAUCCCCGCCGCCGAAGGGGCAAGGGUCUCCCGGCAACGCGUCGUCGGCCGGGAGUAAGCCGGUCCUAAGCCCGACCUUAACCGGGUAGGGCGAAAGGGAAACCGGUUAAUAUUCCGGUGCCUCCGGAGUACGUGCGGCGACGCAAGGCCGGUGUCUGACGCUUCGGGGUAGGCUGAGCGGGGCCGUAGCCCUGUCUAAACGCAUAAGCCUGGGGAGUGGCGUAAAGCCGAGAACCAGGUGAAAGCGUGAACGGCCGCCCGUAUGGGCGGUUCAGCUGAUCCCUGGAGCCCAUGAAAAAGACAUCGGCAAGGAUCUCCGGAGACCGUGCCAAGAACCGACACAGGUGCCCCUGGGUGAGAAGCCCAAGGCGUCUGGGGUCACUCCAGGGCGAGGGAACUCGGCAAAUUAGCCCCGUAACUUCGGGAGAAGGGGUGCCUGAGGCCUUGGCCGCGAGGCUGGGGCCUUAGGUCGCAGUGACUAGGGGGUCCUGACAGUUUAAUAAAAACCUAGGUAGCCGCAAGACCGAAAGGUUUUGAACGGCUAUCGAAUCCUGGCCAGUGCGGGUACUCGAAAACCGGGUUCAACCGGUAUAAGGGCCCGUAAACGCCGGGAGUAACUCUGACUCUCUUAAGGUAGCCAAAUGCCUUGUCGGGUAAGUUCCGACGUGCAUGAAUGGAUCAACGAGGGCCCCACUGUCCCCGCCUGGAGCCCCGUGAACCCACGUAACGUGGGCGAACAGUCCACGAACUCCCAACGGGGAAAGAAGACCCUGUGGAGCUUUACUGCAGCCUGUCGCUGGGAUGUGGACGGAUGUGCAGAGCGUAGCCGGGAGCCGUCGAUCCCCGUCUCUCCGGGGGCGGGGGGAGGCGACAAUGUAACACCGGCCACGUCUGUCUGCAUCUCUCACCGGCGCGAGAGCGCUGGAACAACGGCAGGUGGGCAGUUUGGCUGGGGCGGCACCCCCUCGAAAAGAUAUCGAGGGGGCCCAAAGGUCGGCUUAGGCGGGACAGAAACCCGCCGUGAAGUGCAAGGGCAAAAGCCGGCUUGACAGGGCCCUUGAAAGCCAGGGGCCCUGAGGGGAAACCCAGGCCUAGCGAUCCAUCGGCUCCUACCAGUGGGGGCCGGUGGUGACAGAAAAGUUACCCCAGGGAUAACAGGCUCGUCGCGGGCGAGAGUCCCCAUCGACCCCGCGGCUUGGUACCUCGAUGUCGGCUCUUCCCAACCUGGCCGUGCAGAAGCGGCCAAGGGUGCGGCUGUUCGCCGAUUAAAGGGGAACGUGAGCUGGGUUUAGACCGUCGUGAGACAGAUCGGAUUUUACCUGUUGGGAGUGCUGGCUGCCUGAGGGGAAGGUGCUCCCAGUACGAGAGGAACGGAGCGCCGGGGCCAACGGUGUACCGGUUGUCCUACAGGGCAGUGCCGGGCAGCUGCGCCCCCGCGGAUAAGGGCUGAAAGCAUCUAAGCCCGAAGCCGCUCCCGAAAAUAGGCAGCCACUCGCCGGGUAAGGGCUCGGCAACGGGCCUAUACCGGCGACGAGGGUUCCCGUAGAAGACGGGUUUGAUGGGGCGGGGGUGUACGGAUGGAGGCUUCGGCCGAACAUCCUCAGCCCGCCGCUCCCAACCGCCCGAGUGGCCUAAGGU
rnacentral:rRNA from 1 species